GCAGCGCCGCGGCCGGGCGCCCCCGCGGGAGGCCACAGCCACCCGGGCGCGCAUCCAGUCGCCGCGCCUCGGCCGGCUCGCUGCGCCCGGGGGCUCGGCGGACCCCGCGUCGCCGCUUCGGAGCUGGCGCGGCGCGGGCGGCCCGGCGGGGCGGCCGGCCGGGGCCCGGCCCGCCUCCCCAGCACCCGCCCCGGUUUCUCCCCCUGGCGGCGGGAGCCUCCGCGGCCGCUGGCAGCCCUGGGCGCACGGGAGCCCGAGCUGAGCCGAGCCCGAGCCGCCGCCGCCGCCGCCGCCGCCGCUGCUGCCGCCGCCGCGCGCGCCGCUCCCGGGCCCCCUCCCAGCGCGCCGGCCGGGGUGGGGGCGGGGGCUGGAGGGCCCGGGGUGGGCGAGGGGCACGCGCCGGGGUUAGCGGCGAAGAACGGACCCUGGGCCGCUAGGGGAUACUGCUGAUCUCUGCUGUCGGGAGUGGUUACCUGCAGAACCCAUGUGUGCAUAACCUCCACCAUUUCACCAAUGUCAUCUGCCUCGAUCAAGUCCACCUGUCACUCACUGACAAAAUUCUUUGAUUGAACUCCCUAAUAGUUAUCAGCUCUAUAAUACAGCAGAGUGGACAGUGAGAAAGAGAGAGAGACAGAGAGAAAGGUCUUCCUUGUCCGUUGGUUCAACCCCCAAUGGCCAUUGCGGCCGGUGCGCUGAUCCGAAGCCAGGAGCCAGGUGCUUCCUCCUGGUCUCCCAUGUGGGUGCAGGGCCCAAGCACUUGGGCCAUCCUCCACGGCACUCCAGGCCACAGCAGAGAGCUGGACUGGAAGAGGAGCAACUUGGACAGAAUCUGGUGCCCCGACCAGGACUAGAACCCGGGGUGCCCACGCCGCAGGCGGAGGAUUAGCCUAUUGAGCCACGGUGCCGGCCAAUGACAAUUUCUUAAUUUGAUCAUUGUAUAAUGGUUAAUCAGAGAGAAACAUUAGGUGAAACUCAGUAAAGGCACUCUCUGUACUAUCUUUGCAACUUUCCUGUAAAUAUAAAAUCAUUUGAAAAUGAAAUGAAUGAAGAAAAAUUCCAUGCCUUUGUAACAGAUGGAAUGGGUAUCUCCUUUAUCCCAAGAGACACCAGCAUUCAUCCAUUGGUUUUGUGAUGAAAAGGCAAAGGAUAUGAUGGCAGAAGCAUUUCUUCUCUUAAUCAACCGUGGCUUUCACAUCUUUUAUGCUUUUAUAGAAUAAAAAUUCUAUUCAUGA